GAUGAACGCUGGCGGCGUGCUUAAUACAUGCAAGUCGAACGGUGAAGCCAAGCUUGCUUGGUGGAUCAGUGGCGAACGGGUGAGUAACACGUGAGCAACCUGCCCUGGACUCUGGGAUAAGCGCUGGAAACGGCGUCUAAUACUGGAUAUGAGGCGUGACCGCAUGGUCAUGUUUGGAAAGAAUUUCGGUCUGGGAUGGGCUCGCGGCCUAUCAGCUUGUUGGUGAGGUAAUGGCUCACCAAGGCGUCGACGGGUAGCCGGCCUGAGAGGGUGACCGGCCACACUGGGACUGAGACACGGCCCAGACUCCUACGGGAGGCAGCAGUGGGGAAUAUUGCACAAUGGGCGGAAGCCUGAUGCAGCAACGCCGCGUGAGGGAUGACGGCCUUCGGGUUGUAAACCUCUUUUAGCAGGGAAGAAGCGAAAGUGACGGUACCUGCAGAAAAAGCGCCGGCUAACUACGUGCCAGCAGCCGCGGUAAAAC
rnacentral:rRNA from 1 species